rnacentral:rRNA from 1 species
AGAGUUUGAUCCUGGCUCAGAACGAACGCUGGCGGCGUGGCUAAGGCAUGCAAGUCGAACGGACGUAUGGAAUGGGAAACCUGAACAUACGUUAGUGGCGAACGGGUGAGGAAUGCAUGGAUAACGUACCCCGGACUCGGGCAUAGCGGCGGGACUUCGGUCCCUUUGCGAAAGUGCCGGUAAUUCCCGAUGAUCCUGUCGGAUCGCAUGUUCCGACGGGCAAAGCUCCGACGGUCCGGGAGCGGUUCAUGUCCUAUCAGCUUGUUGGUGAGGUAACGGCUCACCAAGGCGGCGACGGGUAUUGGGCGUGAGAGCGUGGCCCGACACAUCGGGACUGAGACACGGCCCGGACACCUACGGGUGGCUGCAGCAACGAAUAUUCCGCAAUGGGCGCAAGCCUGACGGAGCGACGCCGCGUGCAGGAAGAAGUCCCUCGGGAUGUAAACUGCUGUCAGGGGUUAGGAACACUGACCAGCCCCAAAGGAAGCACUGGCUAACUCCGUGCCAGCAGCCGCGGUAAUACGGAGAGUGCGAGCGUUGUUCGGAAUUACUGGGCUUAAAGCGCGUGUAGGCGGGGCGCAAGGUGCCGUGUGAAAGCCCCGGGCUCAACCCGGGAACUGCUCGGCAAACCGGCGCUCUUGAGGCAGGU